rnacentral:tRNA from 1 species
UUUGAGUUAGUUUAAAUAAAACGUUAGAGUGUGGAUCUAAAGAUAAGAUUGUUCUUACUUAAAA